GGCCCGCUGGCUCAAUGGUAGAGCGUCUGACUACGAAUUGGUACAUCAGGAGGUUCCAGGUUCGAGACCUGGGUGGGUCG